rnacentral:misc_RNA from 1 species
GAUGAAGAACGUAGCGAAAUGCGAUACUUGGUGUGAAUUGCAGAAUCCCGUGAACCAUCGAGUCUUUGAACGCAAGUUGCGCCCGAAGCCGUCAGGCCGAGGGCACGCCUGCCUGGGCGUCACACGCCGUUGCCCCCCCGCGCCCCGCACCCAACUCUUUGGGAGCGACCGCGGGGCGGGCUGAUGAUGGCCUCCCGUGCGCUCCGCCGCGCGGUUGGCCCAAAUACCGAGUCCCCGGCGACGUGAGCCACGACGAUCGGUGGUUGAGAGACCUCUGUCGCAAGUCGUGCGCGCCCGUCGCGUCACGCGGGCUCGCAUAGCGCCUCGCGCCGCACCCGGUGCGGAGCUUUCAACGCGACCCCAGGUCAGGCGGGGUUACCCGCUGAAUUUAAGCAUAUCAAUAAGCGGAGGA